rnacentral:rRNA from 1 species
AACGCGAAGAACCUUACCUGGGCUCGAAAUGUACAGGACAGCGGUAGAAAUAUCGUCUCCCAGCAAUGGGUCUGUAUAUAGGUGCUGCAUGGCUGUCGUCAGCUCGUGUCGUGAGAUGUUGGGUUAAGUCCCGCAACGAGCGCAACCCUUAUCUCCAGUUGCUACCAUUUAGUUGAGCACUCUGGCGAAACCGCCUCGGAUAACGGGGAGGAAGGUGGGGAUGACGUCAAGUCCUCAUGGCCUUUAUGUCCAGGGCUACACACGUGCUACAAUGGCCGGUACAAACCGUCGCAAACCCGCGAGGGGGAGCUAAUCGGAAAAAGCCGGCCUCAGUUCGGAUCGCAGUCUGCAACUCGACUGCGUGAAGCUGGAAUCGCUAGUAAUCGCGGAUCAGAACGCCGCGGUGAAUACGUUCCCGGGCCUUGUACACACCGACUGUAC